GAUGAACGCUGGCGGCGUGCUUAACACAUGCAAGUCGAACGAAGCACUCUAUUUGAUUUUCUUCGGAAAUGAAGAUUUUGUGACUGAGUGGCGGACGGGUGAGUAACGCGUGGGUAACCUGCCUCAUACAGGGGGAUAACAGUUGGAAACGACUGCUAAUACCGCAUAAGCGCACAGGAUCGCAUGAUCUGGUGUGAAAAACUCCGGUGGUAUGAGAUGGACCCGCGUCUGAUUAGCCAGUUGGCAGGGUAACGGCCUACCAAAGCGACGAUCAGUAGCCGACCUGAGAGGGUGACCGGCCACAUUGGGACUGAGACACGGCCCAAACUCCUACGGGAGGCAGCAGUGGGGAAUAUUGCACAAUGGGGGAAACCCUGAUGCAGCGACGCCGCGUGAGCGAAGAAGUAUUUCGGUAUGUAAAGCUCUAUCAGCAGGGAAGAAGA
rnacentral:rRNA from 1 species